rnacentral:rRNA from 1 species
ACUAGGAUUAGAUACCCUAUUAUUUAGGGAUUAGAUAAGCUUUGAAGAAGUAGAAAAUUAAAUCAAACCUUAAAAGACAUGGCGGUAAGACAUCCACUCAGAGAAAUAUGCCAAUUAAAUUGAUAAUACCCACUGAAUCGUACUUAACCUUGAAAUCCAUCCUGUAUACCGCCGCCUAAAGGCUAGCUUAGUAGUGCUAGUCUAAACCAAGCUUGACUUGAAUAAGACAGGUCCAGGUGCAGACCAUGGUUAAGGGUUAGGCGUAUUGCUUCAAAAAAAUUAAUGGAUCUAUAAUAUGAAAAUCAUAGUGAAUUAGGAUUUGAAAGUUCUUCUUUUUUAUAAUAAUAGAAGGAAUUGAGCUCUGUCUUAUGUACACAUCGCCCGUCGCUC